GUUUGAGCCUGAUUUGCUUGAGUUAACCCUUUUGGACCAAUUGACCUAUUAGUAUCUAAGGCAAAUAAUUGAGAUGUGAUUAUUUAAUUGAUUUCGUUCGCUGACUUGAUCAAUUUAUUGGUUUCUAAGGAAAGCAAUGGGAGGACCCCCACUGAUCUCAACUAACCUGACCAAUUUGAAAGAUUGAGUCUUCAAUUGGGUUACUUGGCAUUUUUGGUUUAGCCCAUGCCAAU
rnacentral:lncRNA from 1 species